rnacentral:rRNA from 1 species
GCAUAUCAAUAAGCGGAGGAAAAGAAAAUAACAAUGAUUCCUCUAGUAACUGCGAGUGAAGAGGGAAAAGCUCAAAUUUUAAAUCUGUUAGGUUUACCUUAACCGAGUUGUAAUUUGAAGAAGCGUUUUCUGCGAAUUUGGUUAGUCCAAAUCCUUUGGAAUAAGGUAUCAUGGAGGGUGAGAAUCCCGUUCGGUUAACCAAAGCGCUUUACGAUACGCUUUCAAAGAGUCAAGUUGUUCGGGAUUGCAGCUUAAAUGGGAGGUAAAUUUCUCCUAAGGCUAAAUAUUGGCGAGAGACCGAUAGCGAACAAGUACCGUGAGGGAAAGAUGAAAAGAACUUUGAAAAGAGAGUUAAACAGUACGUGAAAUUGUUGAAAGGGAAACGAUUAAAGUCAGUCGUACCUACGAGUAAUCAACCUACUCGAGUGCGAUUUUGUGGGUAUGUUAGAGCUUAAAAACCUUCAUGCUUACAAAUUGGUGCUCUUUGGGCGUACUUUCUCGUAUGGUAGGUUAACAUCAAUUUCGAUCGUUAUAAAAUGACUGGAGGAAUGUAGCUUCGAUCUCGGUUGAAGUGUUAUAGCCUUUGGUAGAUGUAAUGAUUGGGAUUGAGGAUUGCAACGGAUACCCUCUGGGCUAUUCGUCUGAUCUCUGGAAGUUACCUUGGUGUCGAAAGCGUGCUUACGAUAUUAAGGUUGACGGCCAAUAGGUUAGAACGUGAUUAAAUUCGUUAAGGAUGUUGACGUAAUGGCUUUAAACGAC